GAACUCGUCCUAGACGGUUAGUCCGAUUGCCACGAAAAUUGGCUCAGAUCAUCUUCAGACCAUGCUGGCAAAAAGUUAUGGAAUUCAAGUUGAUUCGUCCAACUGUUGUCGAAUGACACGUAAACAAAUUUGACGAAAAGCACGCAAACAUGCACGUGAGGCUAUAUCCCGGCAACGGUUUGUCAUAUUGAGACCAAACUUGGCGUGUGUUAUAACAAGCAUGACCUGAGACUACCUGCAGUGUUUCGACACAGCGCCACCUAGUGGUCAGGAGAUAUGAAAAAUGCAUAUUUUGGCUUAUAACUACUGAAUGGUUUGGCCAAAAAUCACACAACUGGUCUCUUUAGAUUCAGUGAGUCAUGUCGAGUCAAAUGAUAUCCAAUUUUCCUGUGUCGGCCAUUUUAGGCGUCGGCCAUUUUGAAUUAUGAUUUAAAAUGCUGUAUUUUUUGAACGCAGCAUCGUAUCGUUUCGCAAAUAAUUACAAAAAUAUUCGGCUCCAUGCCCUGAAGGUACUCAAAAAGUUUGGUGGCAGCGCCACCUUGUGGCCAAUAGUUAUAAUGAAAUAUCACAUAAAUGCUAAUAACUUUUGAAUAAAUUAGUCUAUUAAAAUUAAAAUGAUCUCGCUAUAUUCUGUGGGUCAUGCCGAGAGUAUUGAUACCAAUAAUGUGAAAAUUGGCCUUACUUCCUGUCCGCCAUUUUGCUUAAUGUUGAAAACCUACUUUUUCGAACUCCUCCUAGACCGUUAGCCCAAUUUUCACCAAAUUUGACGUGCAUCAUCUUCAGACCAUGCUGGCAAAAAGUUAUGGAUUUUGUGUCGAUAUACGUAACGGUUCUCAUUUAGCGCAUCAACGAAUUUGCUGGAAGGGUGCCAAAAUGCAUUUGAGGCUGUAUCUCUGCAACACUUUGACAUAUUUGCACCAAACUUUGUAUGUGUCAUCGCCACCUCACACUGACCAUGCCACAUAAAUUUGGUAACAGCGCCACCUAUUGGUCAAGAGUAAUAAACCAUUCAUUAACCAUGAGUAAUUACACUUUUUAAAAUGCUAAUAACUUUUUAAUGCAUUAGCCUAUUUGAAGGAAACUGGGCUCAAAAUAUUCCCUGGCUUAUGCCGAUAACAUAGAUACCAAAUAUACCACGGUAAGCUGAACUUCCGGUCCGCCAUUUUGAUUUAUGUUGAAAACAUACUUUUUCGAACUCCUGAUCAACCGUAUGUCCGAUUUUCAUCAAAUUCGAAUCAAAUGAUCUUCAGGCUAUACUGAUUCAAAGUUAUGGAUUUUGAGUCGAUAGACAAAACCGUUUUCGCAUACCACAUCGACGAAUUUGAGGCACAAUGAGAAAAUGACACUUGAGGCUGUAUCCCUGGAAUGCUUUGGCAUAUUGACACCAAACUUUGUGUGUGUCAUUGAAAAGACACACAGAGUACACCAAAUUGAUUUUAUAACAGUGUCACCUAUUGGUCAAGCUUGAUAAACCAAGUAAUCAUGCUACUAGAGGUGGUAUUGGUGUUUUUUUUUUUUUGCCAUUUCAAAUACAAUAAUUCCAAAAUUGCUGUUAUUGCUCAUUAAUGUAUUUGGUGUGAUGCUUUAUGCGAUGCUUAGCUACUACAUUUGCCGUUGGAGUGCUUGGCCCCGUAAUUGCUGCUUGCAGCUAUAUUUAGGGGCCAAGCACCGAAGGUGCGAAGGCACCUAUUGUGUUUGUUGGCGUUAUUAGGGGCCAAGCACCGAAGGUGCGUAGGCACCUAUUGUAAUCGUUGGCGUUAUUAUUAUUCUUCUUCUUCUUCUUCUUCUUCUUCUUCCGCCGCAAGUCUAUGGCAGCCCAUAGAACCGAUUGCGGGAAAGUUGUAUAAUUUGGCACACUGAUAGAGGACAGUCCCAACAUUAACUAUAGCAAAUUUGAAGUCUCUAUCUCCUACUCUCUAGCGCCACCACUUGUCCAAACUUUCAAUGUUUGUAUGCUAAUAACUUUUGAACCGUAAGCCAGAAAAUGGAAAUUCUUUUUUCCUCUGAAUCCUUGGCUCAUGCCAAGUCGAAUGAACCCCAAAAUUCAAAAAUCGCAAGGUUUAGUUUUUUCGCUAUUUUCAAUUUUUCGAAAAACCUACUUUUUCGAACUCGUGCUAGACGGUUAGUCCGAUUGCCACGAAAAUUGGCUCAGAUCAUCUUCAGACCAUGCUGGCAAAAAGUUAUGGAAUUCAAGUUGAUUCGUCCAACCAUUGUCGAAUGACACGUAAACAAAUUUGACGAAAAGCACGCAAAAAUGCACUUGAGGCUAUAUCUCAGCAACGGUUUGGCAUAUUGAGACCAAACUUGGUGUGUGUUAUAAUAAGCAUGACCUGAGACUACCUGCAGUGUUUCGACACAGCGCCACCUAGUGGUCAGGAGAUAUGAAAAAUGCAUAUUUUGGCUUAUAUCUUCUGAAUGGUUUGGCCAAAAAUCACACAACUGGUCUCUUUAGAUUCAGUGAGUCAUGUCGAGUCGUAUGAUAUGCAAAUUUCCCAUGUCAGCCAUUUUAGGCGUCGGCCAUUUUGAAUUAUGUUUUAAAAUGCUGUAUUUUUUCAACGCAGCAUCGUAUCGUUUCGCAAAUAAUUACAAAAAUAUUCGGCUCCAUGCCCUGUAUGUACUCAAAAAGCUUGGUGGCAGCGCCACCUUGUGGUCAAGAGUUAUAAUGAAUUAUCACAAAAAUGCU